rnacentral:rRNA from 1 species
UACAGGAGCGGCAGACGGGAGAGUAACACGUGGGAACAUACCCUUUGGUUCGGAACAACACAGGGAAACUUGUGCUAAUACCGGAUAAGCCCUUACGGGGAAAGAUUUAUCGCCGAAGGAUUGGCCCGCGUCUGAUUAGCUAGUUGGUGAGGUAACGGCUCACCAAGGCUACGAUCAGUAGCUGGUCUGAGAGGAUGAUCAGCCUCACUGGGACUGAGACACGGCCCAG